rnacentral:hammerhead_ribozyme from 1 species
AUCCAGCUGACGAGUCCCAAAAAUAGGACGAAAUGCGCUUUGUCCUGGAU